rnacentral:rRNA from 1 species
CUGCUGCCUUCCGUAGGAGUUUGGGCCGUGUCUCAGUCCCAAUGUGGCCGUCCACCCUCUCAGGCCGGCUACUGAUCGUCGCCUUGGUGGGCCGUUACCUCACCAACUAGCUAAUCAGACGCGGGUCCAUCUUACACCACCUCAGUUUUUCACACUCGACCAUGCGGUCCUGUGCGCUCAUGCGGUAUUAGCACCUAUUUCUAAGUGUUAUCCCCCUGUGUAAGGCAGGUUACCCACGCGUUACUCACCCGUCCG